rnacentral:rRNA from 1 species
CAGUCGCCACGGUAAGACAGAGGAUGCAAGCGUUAUCCGGAAUGAUUGGGCGUAAAGCGUCUGUAGGUGGCUUUUCAAGUCCGCCGUCAAAUCCCAGGGCUCAACCCUGGACAGGCGGUGGAAACUACCAAGCUGGAGUACGGUAGGGGCAGAGGGAAUUUCCAGUGGAGCGGUGAAAUGCGUUGAGAUCGAAAAGAACACCAACAGCGAAAGCACUCUGCUGGGACGACACUGACACUAAGAGACGAAAGCUAGGGGAGCAAAUGGGAUUAGAUACCCCUGUAGUCCCUGUCUCUUAUAC